UAUAAAUCCAAACCAAGAGAAGUCUGCUGCCAUCAAGUUGGCCUUAUCUUGGAGCUGCCCUGCAAAAGCAUUAAAGGUGAGAUCAUAUGGUAAUUGUCCCUCACCACCUGGCUUAUUUCGCUUAGCAUAAUGCUUUCCAGUUCCAUCAAUGCCACCACAAAGGCUCGCUGAUUGAGAUCACAACCUCCACCAUGUCUUGUAUGCUGUUGUACAGGAGCUGCCAGAAGAAAACAAGACGACCCUGCAAACAAAAUUCACACCAGCAAAAAUACCCUCCAACUUCAUGAAAUCAACAACAAAUGAGCUAAGACUUACAAAGUUAAAAGAGAAUGAGAAUAUUAUACAGAAGAAAAAAACCAAUAUGAGUUAAUGGGAAUAAACAUGAUUUUGAGAGGGUAGGGGGAUGAGAAAUUAUAAGAGUAAGGAAUAGAAACAAGGCAAAAAAAAAAGAGAGAAAAUAGGUUAGCUCAGUUGGUUAGAGCGUGGUGCUAAAAAAAGAGAAAAUAAAAUUUCCCACAUAACUAAAAUAGAGAUGGAAUAUGGCAAACUGGAGUAAGACAAGGCAAUAGUAUGAUAUGAGAUUUGGAGUGAAAAAAUAGGAAUCACAUUGCAAUAAAACCACCACCUCAGUGAUAUCCACAACAAAGGAACAAAGAUUGGUAAAUAUGAAAGGGAGAUAAUGUUAUAAGAAAAAGAAAGGAAAGAAGAGAAAAUAAAAUAUUGUGAGAUAUCUAAAGUAAACUAAUUUUGAUAGGAUAGAGGGAGAAGAAAUCAUAAGUGUAAAGGUUAGAAACAAGACUAAGAAAUGGAGAAGGUGAAAAUUAAAAUGAAAAUAAGGGCAAGAAGAAGGCAAAUGAAGUAGGACAGGGGAACAGUAAUAUAUGAGAUUUAAAAAUAAAAAAAUAAAUGAAUAAAAUAGUGACUAUCUAGGGAUAAACUAAAGAAAUGAAACAAGAACCCCAUAUCAAUGAUAACUGAGCAAAUGUUAAUAAAGGUGGAACAACAAUGAGAAUAUUAUAAGAAAGGGAAGAAAAAUGUAAGAUGUCUAAUGGAAAGAAAGAUGGUUUUGAGAGGAUGGAGGGAGAAGUAAUAGUAAAAAUGGGGAAUAGAAACAAAGUGUAGAAAGGGAAAAAAUAAAUUUUAAACCAAAAAUAAAAAAGAGAGGGAUGAAGG